rnacentral:rRNA from 1 species
UACGUAGGGGGCUAGCGUUGUCCGGAAUCAUUGGGCGUAAAGAGCGUGUAGGCGGCCCGGUAAGUCCGCUGUGAAAGUCAAAGGCUCAACCUUUGAAUGUCAGCGGAUACUGCCGGGCUAGAGUCCGGAAGAGGCGAGUGGAACUCCUGGUGUAGCGGUGGAAUGCGCAGAUAUCGGGAAGAACACCAACGGCGAAGGCAGCUCGCUGGGACGGUACUGACGCUGAGACGCGAAAGCUGGGGGAGCGAACGGG